UGAUCCGGAGAUGUCUGAAUGGGGAAACCCACAUGAGCAAACCUCAUGUAUCCAUACGCCAAUCCAUAACGUAUGGAAGGGAACCCGGGGAACUGAAACAUCUAAGUACCCGGAGGAAAAGAAAGAAAACUCGAUUCCGUAAGUAGCGGCGAGCGAACGCGGAGGAGCCUAAACCGGAAUGCGUGCAUUCCGGGGUUACGGACUGCAUUUAAGAUUCUCUGAAGCUAACAGAACGGUUUUGGGAAAGCCGGCCGGAGAGGGUGAAAGCCCCGUACGUGAAAGCUGAUGAGACUGAGCAGGAUCCAGAGUACCACGAGACACGUGGAACCUUGUGGGAAAUCAGGGGGACCACCCCCUAAGGCUAAAUACUACUUAGUGACCGAUAGCGCAUAGUACUGUGAAGGAAAGGUGAAAAGGACCCCGGGAGGGGAGUGAAAGAGAACCUGAAACCCUGUGUCUACAAGCUGUGGGACCUCUUUAUAUGAGGGACUGCGUACUUUUUGUAGAACGGUCCGGCGAGUUGUGCGUACUGGCGAGGUUAAGGACUUAAGGUCUGGAGCCGAAGUGAAAGCAAGCGUUAAUAGCGCGUCAAGUCAGUGAGUGCAGACCCGAAACCGGGUGACCUAUCCAUGUCCAGGUUGAAGCUUCCGUAAGAGGAAGUGGAGGACCGAACCCACAUCCGUUGAAAAGGGUGGGGAUGAGGUGUGGAUAGCGGAGAAAUUCCAAUCGAACCCGGAGAUAGCUGGUUCUCCUCGAAAUAGCUUUAGGGCUAGCCUCAUGAGAGUCUUAUGGAGGUAGAGCACUGAAUUGCCUAGGGGGCGUCAAAGCUUACCAAAGCAUAUCAAACUCCGAAUGCCAUCAAGAUGAUUCAUGGGAGUCAGACCAUACGAGAUAAGUUGGAUGGUCAAAAGGGAAAGAGCCCAGACCUACAGCUAAGGUCCCAAAGUGCGUGUUAAGUGGAAAAGGAUGUGGGGAUUCUAAGACAACUAGGACGUUGGCUUAGAAGCAGCCAUUCAUUGAAAGAGUGCGUAAUAGCUCACUAGUCGAGAGUCCCUGCGCCGAAAAUGUCCGGGGCUGAAACACGACACCGAAGCUUAGGAAUGUGUAAACAUUGGUAGAGGAGCAUUGCUGGCGGGAUGAAGCCAUACCGUAAGGAGUGGUGGACUGCUAGGAAGAGAGAAUGCCGGAAUGAGUAGCGAGAUGAAGGUGAGAAUCCUUCAGGCCGAAUAUCUAAGGUUUCCAGAGUAAAGCUGAUCUGCUCUGGGUAAGUCGGGACCUAAGGCGAGGUCGAAAGACGUAGUCGAUGGAUAACAGGUUGAAAUUCCUGUACCGCAUAUAAACAGAACUGUGGGGACACAGACAGGGAAUGGAAUCCGGGAAUGGAUAUCCCGGUGCAAGCGAGGUAGGAGUGCUGUUGGCAAAUCCGCAGCACGAUCUGAAGACGUGACGCGUACCGAACAUAAGUAGGGAAGUCCAGGCCCCUGGCUGUCAAGAAAAGCCGCUAUUGUUUUAUAUGUGCCCGUACCGCAAACCGACACAGGUGGAUGAGGAGAGAAUCCUAAGGCCGACGGGAGAAGUAUUGUUAAGGAACUCGGCAAAAUGACUCCGUAACUUCGGGAGAAGGAGUGCCAUGAGAGUGGCCGCAGAGAAAUGGCCCAAGCAACUGUUUAGCAAAAACACAGGUCUAUGCAAAACCGCAAGGUGAAGUAUAUGGGCUGACGCCUGCCCGGUGCUGGAAGGUUAAGGGGAGAGGUUAGCGCAAGCGAAGCUUUGAACUUAAGCCCCAGUAAACGGCGGCCGUAACUAUAACGGUCCUAAGGUAGCGAAAUUCCUUGUCGGGUAAGUUCCGACCCGCACGAAAGGCGUAAUGAUUUGGGCACUGUCUCAACGAUACACCCGGUGAAAUUGAAAUACCAGUGAAGAUGCUGGUUACCUGCGCCAGGACGGAAAGACCCCAUGGAGCUUUACUCCAGUUUGAUACUGGGAUUCGGCAUGGUAUGUACAGGAUAGGUGGGAGACUGAGAAGGUAUGACGUCAGUUGUACCGGAGUCGCUGUUGGGAUACCACCCUUACCAUGUUGGAUUUCUAACCUGUGGCCGUAAGCCGGUCAGGGGACAAUGUCAGGCGGGGAGUUUGACUGGGGCGGUCGCCUCCGAAAGGGUAU
rnacentral:rRNA from 1 species